rnacentral:rRNA from 1 species
UUUUUGGGGAGGUAAAAUUUCUCCUAAGGCUAAAUAUCGGCGAGAGACCGAUAGCGAACAAGUACCGUGAGGGAAAGAUGAAAAGAACUUUGAAAAGAGAGUUAAAUAGUACGUGAAAUUGUUGAAAGGGAAACGAUUGAAGCCCGUCGUACCGACGAGAAAUCAGCUCUUCUUGUGCGAACUUGUGGGCGUGCGUGAGCUUUACGGCCUCUGCGGUUUGGUACGUUUGGGCUCUUUGUGGUGUACUUUUUCGUAUGGUAGGCCAAUGUCAGUUUCGAUUAUCAUAAAAUAAUCGGAGGAUGAGCUUCAUCAA